rfam:Gossypium arboreum cultivar AKA8401 contig_28772_5, whole genome shotgun sequence.
UGUUAAAAAAUUCAUCUAUUUGUAUUGUUAAAAAUUAGUGAGACUGACAGAAUAAUUAAUCAGUGAGAUGUAGUAUGACAUAUGGACCUCAUGCUAACAUAUAUAGAGACAAGCUUUUAACAACAAAACUGGAUGAAAUUUUUAACA